ensembl:lncRNA PAX8-AS1 PAX8 antisense RNA 1
UGGACACCUCGGGGGUUUCCUGCUUUAUGGCGAAGGGCCAGGGCCCCACACCUUCCGCCUGACAGCCAGCCAAGCUCUUCAGUCCCCCGCCCUCCACCUGCCAGGGAGGCUCCGGGCGUUGUACCUGCCACCACGGGGUAGGUCUGACACAUAUACUCACAGAAAUGAGUUAUUUAAAGAAGACGGUCCAGAUUCCACAGUCCAAAAAAAAAAGAGGUUUGCCCUGCUUCUGAAGGAGUCAGGGUAUGAAUGCAGAGGUCUUCCUGUUGGCUCACAUAUCAGAUCUUCAACGUCAACAUUAAAUGCUGAAAGAACAUCAGUGUAUCAGCACAGCAAAUAUUCCAAAUGCCAGGCUGGAUUCCCUCCAAUUACCAGGACCUCCAGGCUUCUCCUCCUUUCAAGAACUUUCUGACCCUGGAUCCAGUCUAAAUGUUGGUUAUAAACUCACCUGACAUCCACAGGGCCCUUCCAAAAUACUGUCAAGGCUGACUGCUGGUGCCUGGAACCUGCACACCCUCCUGGGACUCUGCAUCUCUGCUGGGGCUGGUUUCUCCUCUGAGCCACCUUAAGGAAUCCCACCCUGACCCGGUCAGAGCUCACCAUGCCUCCCUCUCCUACUUGCUCAGCAUUUUGUGUCUAUCUAGACUGAAGCCUUUGCUUUCUCUCUGUGAUUAUGGUGAAAGUUCAGUUUGCUUUCCUAUCUCUAGAAUGUCAGCACGAAGGCAGAGGCAUGGUCUCCUGAGUUCCAUAACCCCAAAGCCUAACUCCCUGCCUGCCACACUGAGGGGCUUAGUAGACAUUGACUUACUAAAUUGAAUAGUUGAGUAAUAAUGCUCUUUGAAAUAAUUUGGAGUUAGAUCUUGAGCCUUGUGUGGCCAGAGGAUGGGUGAGGACACAUCAUAAAAACUAAAGGUAACUGAGCAUGCCAGUGGUUGGGGUGAGAAAUUUGCAUGGAGCACUCCAGACACAGAGGCAGCAAAACCCAAGUGCUGGGAAGUCAGAGUGAGAGAGUGAAGGGGCAGUGAGUGCUUCUUUAGGAGCUGGAUCAAAACCUAAGAUGAUCUGGCCACAUGGUGCAGACUGAGCACACACUUGGGAGAGAAAUGGGCCAGGAGGAGAGGAGAGAGGUUCACCACAGGACAGUGGAUGACUGGGAAUAGAAGCCCUCCCCAUGGUGGACCAAGAAGUCUGUGAAGCUGAGAGAAAGACAAAAGAAAUCACGACUUCUGUAGGUAGCUGGGAUGGAAACCUCAGGGGUGACAGGGUCUUUAAAGGAAAUCUCAAGGAAGGCAUCAUGUUCUGGGUGUGCUCCAGGGAUGCUGAGUAAGAAAAGACCAGCCUUUCUGUGUGUGUCUUUACUCUGCCACAAGGCACCUGGGCUCCUAAAUGACCAAUACACAUGUGCUAUACUGGUGCCAAGAAAGAAGGGUGUUUUGUAGGAAAGUCAAGGUGAGAGGAGGUGCCCAGGACUUGGCUCCUUUCUUUGAAGGGUGACGGUGUAAAUUCUCCAUGCUGGGGAUCCUACUGAUGGAUGGAGGCAUGUCGAUCUCAUCAUUUCACAGAGUGGGGAGCUAUGGCCACAACGUGCCUAUCACACAAGUCCAGCCUCACGUCAGCUGGACACCAGCUGUUCUGACACUUGUCAGCACAUGGGGCACCCGGAAGUUCAUGGUGUUCUGCAAAGAACGCCACAAAACAGUGAGCUCAACUUCUUGAAAGUCAUAAUGUGUUGCUAAGUCCGAUCCCAGAUCCUAAAAAUAAUAUGAGGUAGUGGCCAUUGAACAGAAAAAAUUUACAUCUUAAACUUGAAGAUAAGUACAAGUGUACCUUUUUCUACCACUGUUGUUCAGUUUUAUUAUAUUGACAAGCACCUCUGCCCACCCUGUGGGGUAAAACUGUUUGAAAGUGUUUAUGAAAGUUUUAUAUAAAUAUUGGUUGAUCAAAUGUACAAAAUAUGCAUGAUGGCACCAUAUUGUGUAUAAUAGUGACAAAUACAGUCUAUGUGGGUGGAGAAACAAGCUCGGUGUUGUGCAUGCGGCUGUGGUUUGUGUUCACACUUCUCCUUUAGAGUGUAGUAGACAGAACAUGCCUGAACUGCCUGGGGCUGAGGGGUCUCAGGCGCAGAGUGGCCCAGGAAUUCUGAGCAAGGACAGAAUGUUAGAGAGAAUAUCCUGAGCUGAGCAGAGAGGCCUGCCCAUGCUAGCUGGCAGCCACCUGCCUUCAGUGCUUCAUUCUUGGGGGACCUUGAGGCCAGUUCUUGAGUGGAUGAGUCCUGCCGCUACUGCUGCUGCCCACUUGGUAGCUCUGUCCUCAUCUGGGAAGAGCCACUGUGAACCCCAGAGACCUAGUGGUGCUAGGGGCUGAUGCAGGCAAAUGACUGGCUGCCCCUGGAUCUUAUGUGAAAACAAGAAUGCUGGACCAAAAGGUCUCUACAGGGCUCCAUGACUACCCAUGACCCGUAACUUCAGUGAGGAGCUAGUGGCCAGGAGGGGCUCAUGGUUGGACACUGGUAUUCCUCUACUCAGACCUUAAACCACAGGUUGCAAGAACAGGGAGGUCACAUGUCAGUGACCUCAUGCCUAAAUAGAUGCAUAGCACAGAGCAGAUUCCUGGAUAGCUUACACCCUACUUUCCCCAGUGCAUCGAUUAUGACUUCCUUUCUAGCAACUGUGAGUACAGCCGGGACUCAUCAAUCACACCUGUAACUUCCCAGCUGCAUUUCUCAGGGUCUCUGAAAGCAGGGCCUUCUCUGGUCUUUUUAAAUUACCCACAGACCUAGGACAGUCUUCUGCACAUACUUCUACAUUUUAAAGGCUUACUUUUAGUAUGUUUAUGUGUGUGAGAUGGGGAAUAUUGUAUUCAUGUGUGCAUGUAUAUGUCUGUGAGUACUGUGGUCUGUGUGUGUAACUGGGUAUGACUGUGUGUGUCAUAUGGAUACAGGGGACUAGAAUGAGGACAGCCAGGUGUCCAGGCUAUAAGAUCUAAGGAGGCACUUGCUCUCAGGGCCAACCCUGCCCUUGCGUGAGCCUGAGAGAGAGAGCCUCCUGGAAUUUUGCACCUUGAGUGCCUUCCUGCUUCACCCUAAUCCCCCCGGUUGUCUGUAUGUUUGGAUGUGAGUGUUGUACAUAUGCUGUGUAUGUGUGUGCAUGCAUGUGAGUGUGCAUGGGUGUGUGUCUGUAUGUCUCAGCAGCUGUCACUGGGCUUCCCAGUCCCUGUCAGCAGGCGAAGGAGGCCCCUUCAUUUCCUUGGGUCCUGCUUAUGCAGCACAGGCCACAGCAAAGGCUCCCUGGGUUGGGUCAGCCCUCACUCUAACUCAACAUGCCCUGGAAGUCACCACAGGGUCAUGGAAAGAGUCCUGGUGAUGAGAUGGAGUGUCUGCUCUGCCACAAGGGCUGUGGGACCAGGGUCGGGGCAUACCUCUCUGGGUCUCAGUUUCCUCACUGGUAAGAUGUGGCAACAGAAUCUCAUCUGUGAGCCCCCUCUAGCCUUGAACAACUCUGGAUCCAGGUAGACCAGCAUAAUGAAAGCCUAUGAAGCUUCUGAGAUGUGCGAGGCAUACAUUGUCCCAGGUACUCAAGUAACUCAAGUCUGGAAGCUGCGAGCCACAGAGAUCAAGCCUUCUCCAAAAAUUGGACUGCAAGGCAUGCCGUACAAACAGAGUGCUAGGAGACCUUGGGGAGGUGGGGAAGAGGAAGAGGAAUCAUGGACAGCUUCAUGGGGAGGUGGCUUUGGAGCUGGGAUGGGUGAGGACAGCUGGAAUGUGGGCAGCACGUGACCAAGUGCUUUGCAGACAUGGCAUGGCCCCCAGCCAGGCCCUGAGGAAAGGAGAGUCUCAGGACAGCAGCUAUGUCACUGUAAGCAGGACCCUUGAAAGCAGGUGCCACCUGCAAAAGGGGGAGCCCUGAGGCCCAGGCAGGCCUGUCACAGUGUGGGGCACCUGUCUAGACAGCCCCAUGGCCAGCAGUGGGGGUGGGCCAUGGGCCAUGGGGACCUUCCUGGUAUGGGGUACUGCCAUGUCCCCAGGGAAUAUGGGGGGCCCAGGAAGGUCCCCAAGGCUCGAAGGACCCAGGUCUUUUCAUACUGCCAAAGAGAUGUAAGGCCUACAGAGGGGAAAGUUUGCAUAUCUGUGAAGGCAUGGAGCCUAGGCAUUGGAAGUGUCCAGUAAGCAUUUUCAUUUGGCAGAAGUAUCUCCAUGGCACUUCUACCUACAGCCCUGCCACAUUUUGCCACAAACUGUCCAGCAGCCCUGAGAUGGAGCCCCAGUGUAGACCGUCAUGGAGCACACUGGCUCUGGAACAAUGAGGAGCAGACUGGAGAAAGCCAGAUGGGGUUUACCUGUCAACAGCCACAACAUAGUUGUGCUGGGGUGACUGUUCAAGAAAAAUGAACUUUGGUGCUCCUGCCGAAUGGGUUGUUAGUGUUCAGUCCUUUUCCUACCACUGAGUUGUUUUGUCUGAUCAUUCUUCCUCCUGGUUCUGCGGGUCUGCCUUCUUGAAAGGGAAGAGCAAGACUCCAGCUCCCUGCCCUGUAGAGGUGCCUUCUACCUUGCUCAGUGUUGAAGCAAAGGAGCAAAGCAAAGCUUAAGUCAGAGAUUUGGUGCUCAGCUAAUCACAGAGACUUUUAAAUGUCAACCAGGGUUUGCUAUCAGGCCAAAGCUGGAUUAUUAUUACCCAAAGUAGAAAAUUGUGAGACAGAGGCAGGUGGGGAGGGAGGGAGAGAGAAGAAAGCAGAAGGUGGAGGAUACGUGGAUUUAAUUUUUUAAAAAUAAAUAUAUGAUUCCGUGUCAAUUAAAAACAAGUACCCCAGGCAAGUCUUCCUGCAGUCCUGUCUUAGCCGCACACACAGCAUAACUGCAAACCCACUUGAGCUCAUUUUUGCUCAAAGACCAACUCUAUUAAACCCUUAGAAUGUUCUGGAUUUCAACACACAGUCCACAGACAGCCAUUCUAUCAAAAGCUUAGUGUUUUCCCUAUGACUGGGUUUUCUGGUAAGGUGAACUAAGGCAUCCUUUUCCAUUUCAGGCUGUGGUAACAGCAGAUAACAGCCGCAGAGGUCAUAGCCAGCACUUUCUAUGCGUCCCUUCAUUUAAUCCCAGUACUCCUAGGUGGUAGAUCUAUUAUUUUGUCCACAUGAAUUAUUGAAAAGUCUGUCCUAAAUUUUAAAUGGAACGAAGUACUGGGUUGCAAGUUACUGGUGGCUGUUUCACAGGAAAUACUACGACAAUGGGACUUUGGGAAUGUGUUCUGGAGACUCCACUCCUUGGUGACUACUACAUGGAGCACAGAAAAUUGUCUUGAGUGGCAGCUAUGUGCCAGGUGAGGAGACAGGUUUUACUCACAUGACUCCCCAGAAGCCCUGCAGCAUCCCCAUAUUUUAUAAAGGGGAAGUACAAGCCCAGAGAGACAUCUGACUUGACUAAGUUCACACAAAAACAGCAAGGUCUGGGCCAAGAUGGAAGCCCGGGCUUUGCCUUCUUCUUCUGCCUGCAGGGCAGGGGCUUUCAUCCUGGCUUCACGCUGAUUUCAAAAGCCUCUCAUUCUCUUGACACCUCAUGGCCCCUGAGUUUAUCCCAAGAAUAAUAAGUUCUACUGUCCUCCUGGAGAUGCCGAAGAAUCAAAACUGCAACACACAGAGGGCCUGGGUGUGCGCGAACACUGUAGUACACACCGAUGACAGCAGAUUAAGCCAUUUCUCUCUUAGGUGCGUCACCCAACCAGCUCCUGGACCCUUCUGCUGUGCUGCCCUGACAGUCACAAUAUGUCCUAGUGGACUAAUUAGCACUAACUACCCAUGUCACCCCAAGGCCAUUUAAGAAGACAAAUAAAAAAGACAAAACCAAUGAGUAUUGUGGCUGAAGAUGACGAAAAAAAGUUAAAAGCAGGGAGGAAUGAAUUAUUUUUUCUUUCUCAAUCUCUCCCUCUGCUUAAACCAAAGAGAGGUUUUCAUCUGAGAGCCCGGGAGCUAAGCAGCUACUUUCUACAUGAAAAAGUGAAAACAUUAAAAUAAAAUCCCUUUCUUUCAAGCUAACGUUCUAAAACUGAACCUCUGCAGAGGCUCCAAAAGAGAAAUGCCUUGCUUUUAAGCCCCUGAGUGAGAGGGAUCCUGAGGAAGUGGCAGAGGGGAUGAACCUAAGCUUUGGGACAUAACAACCGGCACCUCCAGUGGCCACCACUCCUAGCUAUGCUGCCUGUGGAUGGGGCCCCCAGUGCUGGCCCCUAACAGCAUGGGGAAGCCUCCCCAGCCACUCUGAAGCUGUUCGCAUCACAUCCAAGAUGAACCUAGGCAGGGAGGCUGAGUGUGCUUGGGAGAUGCCAAGUUAGGGAAGUAAGUUCCCCAGGGUCCUUCAACUUGUGGUGCCUGAGGAUAGCUGCUUUUUUUCCAGUGCAGAUGGAGACACGGCAGCCUUGGGGGGAUGUGUGAAAGUAAGGCCUCCCUCCCUCUGCCUUUCCAAGUGGCUGAUCAUCUCCUUCCUUCUCAUAGCUACUUCUAGGAGAGGCAUCCAGGCAGGAACCACUUCUCCAUUUCACAGAUGGGAAGACUGAGAACCAUACUGGAAAGGGGUGUAUUUUAAUUAAACUGGAGAGUGGGGAACACUGAUGAGGAAAGCAAGCUGAUAGACGGAAGGCUCUGCCUGUCACUGCCAGCACGGGCACUUGGGCCUUCUUAUCAAGGGUUCUGAUGGGAGUUUCCACUAGGAUUCCAGGUGUCGAUCAUCUAGUAGCCGAGUUCUGAUGAGCUGGACUUUGGGUGGUUGAGGUAGGGAGCAGUGGAAAGGGGAAUUGGAGUCUUAUCAACCUCUUUGAACACCAGUUCCUUCCCCUCUCUUCUAUAAAAAUGUCGUAGCAAUACCUGCCUGGCAGAGUUGUGAGAAUUAAAUGAGAUGAUGAAUACAUCUGCUCUCAGCACCACACCACACCUGUGGCAGUCCUCAGAGAGAAGAAUCACAGCUUUCAUUCAUUGAGAGCUCACUAAGUGCCAGGUAUGCUCAGCUCUUGUGCAGACGUUCUUUUUCUUUGGAUGUAAAUGUGACAUGGGCAGAGCAGGAGGAGCUGUGAGGCUGGCUUGGCUGAGCCACAGGGAUUGCUGGCAUCUUAUAUGGCAUUCAGGACUAUGGAGGGUCCACGGGAAGAAACACAGAAACAGAACCCAAGUAUCCUUCGGGGACUCUUGGACUUUCUUCCCCUUGAUCUUAGACAUGCCUCAGUAAACAGAUGCUGGUUUCUAUCGAGACUCAUUCCUGGGGAAGGACCCCCACCAGCCAAGCAAGGUAAAGCCCAGACUCAGUUACAUGAAUUACAGGUUUAAGACAGAAGCCUUCCUAUGAAUAUUUUUCUGGCCAGUGGCUUAUAUAAGAGAAAUUUGCUCAUUGUAUUUCUAUCUGGCCAACGAAGGGGUCUAGAGGGGCUUUCAGCAACCCAAACAGUCUUGUCAGCCCUAACUCUGGACCUAAGGAAAUAAUUAUGAAUCCUCAAGAUCCAUUUAAAAGUGUCAUUACUGUAGAUAAACAAAGACGAGUGGAUGCUUCUUCCUACUCCACCUCACUGCAGAGAUUCCAUCCAUCCCAGGGUCACUGACCACUGACUGGAUGAACUAGGAUUGGUGUGGCAGAGUGGAGUUUUCAGGAGCCAAGAGACUCCUGGAUUGUCAUGCUCUGUACUCCUUCCCCACGAAAGGAAUGUCUAGAACUCCUGCUGAAAGUAGUCAUUGCCUGCAUUUCCUAGGCAGAAUGUGUUAGCUCCCUCCCCAGAAGAACCUGGGCGAAGAAGGUGUUCCAAUCUGCAUUUGGAAAGAAUCCCUCCCGCAAAGAACUCUACACCCUCUAAGAGAAGAUAACGUGAGGGCAUAUUCUCCUCUCUUAGAGGGUGUUUUCAAUACUAAAUUCUAUCUCUGAAGAGAAUGAGGACCCGAAGGGGGGCAGUGCACCA